GUUGGUAAUUAAGUUGCUGAGCUGGAUUUACAAAUAAGCAAAUGCAGAAGAUUGAAGGGAAAAGUUGACAGUAAAGAAGGAGGAAAAAGAAGAAGCUGAAGAAAGUUGUUAUGUAAUGAUUAGUUAGUUGCAUUUCAGUUAUUUGUAACUAACUAAGAAAAGAAAAAAUAAUUAAAUGCUUUUCUGUAGGCCUAGCUGUUAAAGGCUGUAAAAAGAUCACACAAUACGUGUGUUCUCCCCAAAUCAGUUUAUAAGGGGCAUUUUGUCAAGCAUGUUGUGUGUGGAAAAUAUAUACAAGAAUUACCUUUUUCUGCAACUCUCUCCAUUCUUCAACCUUCUGUGCAAACCUUUUUCUCCUACUACCCAAAUCAACAAUCAACCUACAAAUCAUCAAAUAAACACAAUCAAACACAAGAUUAAAAACUUCAACAUGGUAUCAGAGCAGUAACUUGAUCAACAAGGGACUGAAAACAUAAAAUUCCAGAAAAGAUGGUGUCCAGUGGAGAUUUACGAACACCUCAGUUCAACGGUGUGAACUAUGACUUUUGGGCAGUGAAGAUGGAGACAAUCCUCAUAGCAUUUGAUCUAUGGGAUGUAGUUGAGUUUGGCAUGAAAUCAGGUUCAAGUGUGAAAGAAGAAGAAUCUGAGAAAGAAGAUAAGAAGAAUGAUGAAACCGAGAGCAAAGAUGGUGAAACUAAGAGCAGCAUAGCUGAAGAAGCUGUUUUCAGAGAAAACAAAAUAAGAAAUGCCAAGGCAUUGAGCCUCAUCCAAGGAGCCGUGACUGAUGAACUUUUUCCUAGAAUAAGGAAUGAGAAUACUGCACAAGGAGCAUGGAAUGUGCUGAAAAGAGAGUAUAGAGGUGAUAAGAAAGUGAGGUCUGUGAAAUUGCAAGCUGUGAGGGCAGAGUUUGAAUACAUGAGAAUGUCAGAAGGAGAAGGCUUAGAACACUAUCUUUCUAAGUUUUUUGAAGCUAUAAACAGUCUGAAAUCUCUAGGAGAAGAUGUACCUGAGAUUAGGAUUGUGCAGAAGCUCCUAAUGAGUUUAAAUAGGAGAUACAAGUCCAUUGUCUCUAUCAUUGAAGAGACAAGGGACCUUGAUGUGCUGAAGGUGGAAGAAGUUAUAGCCUCUGUCAAAGUAUUUGACAAGAGGGAAGACCUGCAUGAUGAACAAGAUAAGAUUACAAGAACUGAAAAGGCAUUUAGUAGUCUCAAAAUGGGCUAUAAUCAUGCUGCAAACAAGGCUAUGCAGGGGAGAUCUAGUCCAAGAUGGCAGGGACAUGAUCAAAGGCAUGUGGGCUGGUCUCAAGCAAGAAAUGUGAAUAAUCAUCACAAUUUCAGUCACAACACAAACUGGAAUAACAGAACUGGAAGUAGCAGCAGCAGUUCACAGCACAGAGGUAGAGGUAAUCAAACAAACACAAAGCCUCAAUGUUCUGUAUGUCAAAAAUUUCAUUUCGGAAUAUGUAGAUAUAAGGGGAAGCCUAAGUGUGGGAAAUGCAGUCGGUUUGGACAUUAUUCCAAAGACUGUGACAGCAACAAGCAGCUAGCUAAUAGUGCAAAGGAGGAAGAUGUGUGCACAAGCACUAUGUUUUAUGCAUGUCAUGCUGCCAGCAUAAAGAAUGAAGAUGUGUGGUUCAUUGAUAGUGCAUGUAGUAAUCAUAUGACCUCUCAAGAGGAGAAUUUAAUUGAUGUUGAUAGAAGUAUCACUUGCAAGGUGAAAAUGGGUUCAGGAGAUUUGGUUCAAUCCACUGGAAAAGGAACAUUAGUUGUUGAAACCAAAAAGGGCAGAAGAUACAUAAAUGAGGUGCUGUUAGUCCCAGGUUUGGAUGAGAAUCUACUUAGUGUAGGUCAAAUGAUGGAACAUGGUUACUACAUCUUGUUUGGGGGCAAUAAGGCAGUAAUAUUUGAUGAUGAGAAACUAGAGAAUGUGCUUGCAAAAGUAAUAAUGAAGGGGAAUAGAUGUUUUCCCCUUGCACUGGAAUCUUUAACUCCUGCAGCUAUGAAAGCAUCAGUUAAUGAAGAUUCUUGGACAUGGCAUAGAAGGCUUGGCCAUUUAAAUUUUGCAAGUAUGAAGAAGAUGAAACAGGAAGAGAUUGUGUAUGGCUUACCUGUGAUAGCAGAUUCAAGGAAUGUGUGUGAAGGCUGUGUAAAAGGGAAGCAUCACCGAGAGAAAUUUGAUCAAGGGGAAGCAUGGAGAGCCAAACAUCCACUGGAACUUGUGCAUACUGACCUCUGUGGACCAAUGCAGGCAGAAUCAAUUGGUGGGAAUAGGUACUUUCUUACCUUUAUUGAUGACUACUCUAGAAUGUGUUGGGUAUAUUUCCUCCGAAAUAAAUCUGACACAUUAAGUGUUUUCAAGAAAUUUAAAAUACUUGUUGAGACACAAAGUGGCUACUCUCUAAAAAAAUUGAGAAGUGAUAGAGGAGGAGAAUAUACCUCCUAUGAAUUUCAGAAUUAUUGUGCAAGUCUGGGUGUGGAGAGGCAGCUCACAGUAGCAUAUUCUCCUCAGCAGAAUGGAGUGGCUGAGAGGAGAAAUAGGACCAUAGGAGAAAUGGCAAGAUCAAUGUUGAUUGAGAAAGGAAUACCCACUGAAUUCUGGGGAGAGGCAGUGAAUAUUGCUGUGUAUCUUCAAAAUAGGUGUGUUACAUCAGCUGUGGAGGGUAAGACACCAUUUGAAGCCUUCACGGGAAGGAAGCCUGGAAUUAAACACUUAAGGGUGUUUGGGUGUGUAUGUUACACACUCAUUCCAGCAGCACUAAGACAGAAACUGGACAGUAAGGCAGAGAAGGGAGUGUUUAUGGGUUAUGGAAGUUGUGAGAAAGGAUAUCGGGUGUAUAUUCUGGAUUCAAAGAAGAUAGUGCUGUCAAGAAGUGUUGUUUUUUAUGAGAGCAGGUUCUGGAAUUGGACUGAAAAUCACAUGGAAUCAGUCACACAGCAACUAAGGUUUGAAUGCAACAAAGAAGAGAGUGAAGUAGAAGAAACAAAUGUAGAUGUUGCACAGAAUUAUGAUGGCAUUGAUCAGUUAAGCUCACCUGCAAAUGGUUCAGUGACAGAAUCAGUUGAGAAUAUCAGUCAAGGAUCAUCACCUAGUUCAACUCCAGUGAAGUUAAGGAGCAUUGAAGACAUUUAUAAUAGAUGUCACAUGAGCUUCAUUGAACCAGAAAAUUAUCAAGAAGCAGCAAAGAGUAAAGACUGGCAGGAUGCAAUGAGAACUGAAUUAGAGAUGAUAGAGAAGAAUCAUACCUGGGAGCUGAUUGACAGACCUUCUGAUGCGCCUGUGAUAGGUGUGAAAUGGGUCUUCAAGACAAAGCUCAAUCUUGAUGGGUCCAUACACAAGCAUAAGGCUAGACUUGUAGCCAAGGGAUAUGCUCAAAAACCAGGGGUGGAUUACAAUGAGACUUUUGCUCCAGUAGCAAGGUUGGAUACUAUAAGGACUCUCAUUGCGUUGGCAGCUCAAAAGGGUUGGAAAUUAUUCCAACUAGAUGUUAAGUCAGCAUUUCUAAAUGGAAUGCUUGACGAGGAGGUGUAUGUGGAGCAACCCGAGGGGUUUGAAGUGAAGGGGUCCAGCCACAAGGUGUAUAAACUAUACAAGGCUCUAUAUGGACUUAAACAAGCCCCUAGAGCCUGGUAUGGUGAAAUCGAUGCUUAUCUUACAAGUUGCAAAUUUGAAAGGAGUGCAAGUGAAGCAACUUUGUACACCAGAAGUGAUAGUGAAGGAGGCCAGAUCAUUAUCUCAAUAUAUGUUGAUGAUAUAGUGUAUACUGGAAGUAGUGAAAGGAUGAUGACUGAGUUUAAGAGGGAGAUGAUGCAGAGGUAUGAAAUGUCAGACCUAGGGCUUCUUCAUCACUUUCUAGGGAUUGGUGUAUUGCAGACCAAUCAAGGAGUUUUUAUUCACCAAAGUAAGUAUGCUAAGUCUCUACUUACUAAGUUCGGACUUGAGGACUGCAAUCCAGUUGCAAUUCCUCUAACCGUGGGUGAAAAAUUAAAGAAGGAGGAUGGCAGUGAACCUGCAGAUGAAGGGUUGUAUAGAAGGAUAGUGGGAAGCUUGCUGUAUUUAACAGCAACAAGGCCAGACCUAAUGUAUUCAGCAAGCUUACUAUCAAGAUUCAUGAGUUGCCCUACAAAGAAACAUAUGGGGAUUGCUAGAAGGGUAUUGAGAUAUGUUCAAGGUACCCUAGACUAUGGGAUUGAGUACACAAGAGGCAAAUCAGCUACUCUAAUCGGUUAUUGUGAUGCUGAUUGGGGGGGCAGUGAGGAUGAUAGCAGGAGUACCUCAGGCUAUGCUUUUAGCUUUGGAAGUGGUGUGUUCUCUUGGGCUUCUGUAAAACAGAGCACAGUGGCUCUGUCAACAGCAGAAGCUGAGUAUGUCUCAGCUUCUGAAGCCACGGCACAAGCCAUUUGGCUUAGGUUGGUGCUUGAAGAUUUUGGAGAGAUGCAGGCUGAGGCAACUCCAUUGUAUUGUGACAACAUGUCAGCAAUAUCGAUGGCCAAAAAUCCUGUUUUCCAUCAGAAAACAAGACACAUAAACAGGAGAUAUCACUUUAUCAGGGAAUCUUUGAAAGAAGGGUUGAUCAACAUGCAAUUCUGUAGGGGUGAGGACCAGUUGGCUGAUAUAUUCACCAAGGCUCUACCUAAAGACAGAUUCAACUAUCUAAGACUGACUCUUGGGGUUAAACCAGUCAGCAACUUAGGAGAGGCUGUUGGUAAUUAAGUUGCUGAGCUGGAUUUACAAAUAAGCAAAUGCAGAAGAUUGAAGGGAAAAGUUGACAGUAAAGAAGGAGGAAAAAGAAGAAGCUGAAGAAAGUUGUUAUGUAAUGAUUAGUUAGUUGCAUUUCAGUUAUUUGUAACUAACUAAGAAAAGAAAAAAUAAUUAAAUGCUUUUCUGUAGGCCUAGCUGUUAAAGGCUGUAAAAAGAUCACACAAUACGUGUGUUCUCCCCAAAUCAGUUUAUAAGGGGCAUUUUGUCAAGCAUGUUGUGUGUGGAAAAUAUAUACAAGAAUUACCUUUUUCUGCAACUCUCUCCAUUCUUCAACCUUCUGUGCAAACCUUUUUCUCCUACUACCCAAAUCAACAAUCAACCUACAAAUCAUCAAAUAAACACAAUCAAACACAAGAUUAAAAACUUCAACAU
rnacentral:lncRNA from 1 species